AGAGUGCAGCAGUUUGGCAGUGCAUGUUAGCUGGCUGUUGUCCCUGAUGUGCCCACAGCUGCUAGCUGCACUCCAUAUUGUUUCAUUC
rnacentral:pre_miRNA from 12 species